CGGAAAACAGAGAAAACAGUCCUGAAAUAUACCGUAAUAUAAGACGAAACAGAUAUGGUAAGACCUUUUUCCUUCAGGAAUUGUGAAACAUCAUCUCAUCUGAACAUCCUCUCUUAAAUACCUUUUUUUUCUGCAGGAAAAACAAACAUAAAUAAAAGAGAUGAGACAACAGUUACAUCAGACAGUGUAACCUACGCAACAAUUUAUUUCAACAAAUCCAGGUUCCAGACUUAGACAUAACUCCCCAACAUUAUUAUGAAAACCCGAGGAAGAGAGAGUUUUGUCAUUUGUUUAUAGUGUUUUAUUUAAGCUUUGUGAACGUCAAACUAUUGUAUCGUGGAGAAAGUAUAACAUUUUCUUUAUAGAACAGCAGAUGGGGCUGUCUGACUACAUAAGCUAUCAGCUGAGUCGGUUUAGGGGUGCUGUGACCAAAUACAUCUAACUGCCAUCAGUAAACCACCACGAAUAUUAAUCUAACUGGCUGAAACUGUAUAAUUGCAUCCCUCAAUUAUUGUUGUGUUAGUCACAUGUGUACAAGCAUCAACUAAAGUGAAUAUCAUUAUGAUUUUACAUUUGUUAUGGUAUUAUAUAACAUUUUCUUUAUAGAACAGCAGAUGGCGCUGUCUGACUACAUAAGCUAUCAGCUGAGUCGGUUUAGGGGUGUUGUAUGACCAAAUACAUCGAACUGCCGUCAGUAAACCACCACGAAUAUUAAUCUAACUGGCUGAAACUGUAUAAUUGCAUCCCUCAAUUAUUGUUGUGUUAGUCACAUGUGUACAAGCAUCAACUAAAGUGAAUAUCAUUAUGAUUUUACAUUUGUUAUGGUAUUAUAGCCGCCUUCAUGUAAGUGCAAGUAUGUUGAUGAAAUGGCCAUUUGAUGGCACUGUUUGAAAACAUACUUGAAAUAUAAUAAUAAUAAAAAAGUGUAAGUACAAAAAAAGGGUAAUGCCGUUACACAUCCUCUUCUUUCUCGCUCUCUCUGUCUGUCACUUUCAUCCUCCUGGAAUCCACCCAGAACAUGCAGCUUCA
rnacentral:lncRNA from 1 species